CAGUUGGCAUCCGUGUUGGUUGUCUGGGAAGACAACCAGACACAUGGAUCAAGAAGUCAGGGUGUCCGAGGGGUACAGAGAGCUCCAUCAAGAUCAGAACAGAACUGGGAAGCCAGGCACAUGGAGCCCAGCGCACAUGGAGACUGAAAAUCUGGCCUUUGCCCCCACUGAAACCAGCAUCAAGAAGGGCCCCAGGAGUCAGUGACCUCGUGCCAAGAUGGACAAGGAUUACAGCACCUGCAGGGCCAAACAGCACACCACACA
rnacentral:lncRNA from 1 species